rnacentral:misc_RNA from 1 species
CUACGCAGUCAAGAUGGCCGCCACUUCAGUACUCAAGUUUCGUGAGUGUUCUACAAGCAAUUACCAUUCUGACUUUUGCGUAAUUGGAAUGACCGAAAAGAAGUCAUAAACGUUAUAGGGUAUGGUGUAACAAUGAAAGUCUGUCUAUUUUGCCUGUUUUCAAAAUUUAUUGGAGACUGUCAUCUCAACCAUACCGAAUAUACUUCGUGUGUUCUCCACUCUACGUGACAUUGGCGGAAUCAACCGUGCUCCACUGGCUUAACUGAAAGCCAUUAGACCAAUCAAUCAAUUUAUUAUAUAUUCGUCAGAAGUGAUUUAUUUUUCUGAAGUUAAACUAAAUAUUAUUUUACUAAUGCUUUGUAUUUAAUUAGCAGCAAGAGUACAAUUAUUUUUGUUUUUGAAUUUUGAAUAUAAGAAGUAACAAGAAAAUGUUUUAAUAUAUUUU